rnacentral:miRNA from 1 species
UGAGGCAGGAGAAUUGCUUGAACCCAGGAGGUGGAGGUUGCAGUGAGCCGAGAUCGUGCCACUGCACUCCAGUCUGGUGACAGAGCGAGACUCCAUCU